AAGAUAACAGGCUUUAGACAAAGCAGUCUGUAAACAUGAACCUGUUUCACUUGUGAACAGAAAUACGUGUGAUAGCCUUGACAUCACGUACCAUAGCUUUCUGUGCCAGUCUGCAGGAUAAAAGGGCUUUAAUUGCUUUUGUUUUCAUACAGGUGUAUCAAAACAGUGUGACUUUUUUUUCUCUUUUAAUACUAACUGUAUUCCCUGUUGUCUGCCUCUCCCUUGCAGGCUUUGAAAGAGAUGCUAUAUGCGGCUGUGGACCAGGCCCCUUCUAUAGAAGGUUUGUUCAGACAUUGUAAAAAGCUUUGGGUUGUUCUGCUGGAGGCUCAGCACUUCGUAUUCCUCAGGUGCUAAGAGGUAAGGAUCUGAAAUCUGUUUUGGAGCCUUGGUGUCUUAUUUUAGUAUCCUGGCUUGGUCACCACCCCUGCUAUCCGAU
rnacentral:lncRNA from 1 species